UACGUAGGAUGCAAGCGUUGUCCGGAUUUACUGGGUGUAAAGGGUGCGCAGGCGGGACUGUAAGUCAGAGGUGAAAGCCCGGAGCUUAACUCCGGAAAUGCCUUUGAUACUGCGGUUCUUGAAUAUGAUAGAGGCUCAUGGAAUAUGUGGUGUAGCGGUGAAAUGCGUAGAUAUCACAUAGAACACCAGUGGCGAAGGCGGUGAGCUGGGUCAUUAUUGACGCUCAUGCACGAAAGUGUGGGUAGCAAACAGG
rnacentral:rRNA from 1 species